rnacentral:lncRNA from 1 species
CUCUCAUCUUCCUACAAGCCUGUAACAGAGGAGUUUCCACUUCUGGGAAUCUUGGUACUUUAAUGUCAGGUUCCUUACUGUCUGUAGCCAAGGCUUAGAACCCAUACUGGAUUCCCAUACUGGACUACAACUGAGGUGGAGGUGACUUCUCAUGGGCCUCCAGAGGAAUCCAGGGCUUCUGCUGACAGGCCUGUGUGUGGGACUGCUUUUCAGUUGGAUGAACCUCGCUCAGCCAACCGACCUCUCAGCACUGGCUCACCACCCCCAUUUGUGUCAGACUACACGGGAUGCCGAAGGCCGCCACUACCCUGGUUUUUUCUGUCCUCGCCUCUCUGAUACUCCCGAGGAAGCCUACUGUUGCCACCUGCAGGCUGCUGGGGGUUCCUGCUGUACCCUGGAUGAAUUUGAGGCCCUGUACCAAGUAAACUUGUCUACUCUU